CACUUGCAAUAUAAACAUAUUCGAAUUUGAUAAAACGAUUCCCAAUUUUUGUGAAUUUCUUCUUUAGAAAAUUCAGUGAUUUUGAUUGCUAAUUUGAGAAGAUUGUCAUGGAUCAAAAAAGCCAUAGACCUUAGGCCUUUUCGGUUCUUUUCACAACAACCCUAUAAUAAAUAACUUAUGUAGAAUGUUUUUAGCACUGAUACGAUUUGUCACAUUUGCGAAAAGGAAUAUUCCUGCAAGAAGGCAAAAAAUCGUCAUAUAAAACUAUUUCAUCCUGAAGAGCCACCAAUCGAAGUGAAAACUAAGCACAUUAAGUGCCCCCUCUGUCCUGAAGAAGAAAAAACACCAUUUGUGAUAUAUAACCAUUUAAUAAAUCAAAUCAAGGAAAUUCAUGUUAUUAAUAUUGAAGAAUCUUAUCUCGAUUUUAGAAAUAUGGAAGAAUUUGAAUCUUGGAGAGCACUAGACAAUAGGAAUGUUGAUUAUAUCACUACUGGUUGGAAGGGAAAACAUAUUCAUUAUAAUGGCAAUCCCAGUAAUACUAAAGGAUGGGAGAGUCUAUGUAGCAAAAGAAGAUUGAAAACCGGAGGUAGUAUAUAAAUAUGUGGUGUAUGUCCUUCAAGAAUUGAAGUACAGGAAAGUGGUUCUAAUGUUAAAGUAAGAUUCAUCAAAACACAUGUGGGUCAUGAUGAUGAACUUCGGUCAAAACGGUUAACCAAAGAUGAACAGCAUUUAAUAGCUAGCAAAUUGCUAUCUGGAGUAACUAAAGAUAGGAUAAUCGCCGAUGCUAGGAAUGUAAGCGAGCAUAGAAUUCAAAGAUGCAAUAUUUUAACAUAUAUAUAUAUAUAUAUUAUGAGAAAGUAUAAUAUUGACAAGGAAAGACACCCAUAUGAUUAAAUAGCAACAGCCAUGAAAAUUCAGGAAUGGAAUAAAAGAGAAUAUAAUACAGUAUUUUUAUUAAAGCAAAUAGGAGAAAGUUACCCUGGAUUGAGGACAGAAGAUUUUGCCCUAGCAUUCAUGGACAAAAAUGUGGAGCAGAAGUUGAAAAAUUUCAAGAGGAUUAUGUGUAUAGAUGGAACGCAUGGAACUAAUGCAAGAAAUUGGGACCUCAUUAUAGUUUUAGUGAAGGAUGAAAGAAAUAUAGGAUUUCCAGUGGCAUUUUUGGUUACUAAUCGUUUAGUUUAGAUCAAUAAAUCCAAAUAAUUUUUUUCAGGUCAUUUAAAACUAGAAUUGGAGGUACCAUAGAAGUCGAAUAUAUCAUGUCGGAUGAUGAUAAUAAAGUAUUUCAAUGCUUGAUGUGAUGUCUACAGAAACACAUAAACCUAGACGUCUGCUGUGUACAUGGCAUGUUAUCAAGAACUGGAAUAUCCAAGGAAAGAAUAAAUUGGAGAAGAUGGAAAAUAAAAAGGAAAUGAAAUUUCAAAUGAGAAAUAUUUUGAAGGAAAUGGAUAUUGAAAAAUUUUCACAGUUAAAAAAUGAUUACUUUGAACAUUUAGAUAAAGAUGGAGAAAAUGAAUUCUUGAAGUACUUACAGAAACAUUACUUCCAGAGUGAGCAGCAAAUCAAGAUGUGGGCUCAUUAUUAUAAAAAAUUCGCUGGGAUCAACAUAAUUAAGGCUAUUGAAAGCCUUGAUAAGGUCAUAAAUUAUAAUAAAAUGAAAUGACAUCAAAAUUUAAGGUCCAAAAGAGAAGCGAUUGUGUUUCAGGUCCAGGGGCAGUUGAUUCAGAUAAACCAUCUACUUCUACUAGCUAUGGAAAUGAAGUUGAAGAUUUCAUUGAAGCGACUGAAAGAAAUCAGGAACAUGACUUUUCUGUAGAUAAAGAUAAAAGACGUGAAAUAGUGCAUGAAAAAGCUAACUUGCAACUUAAAUCAAUUGAUGAUGAAAAUUUUUACAAGAUCACUAAUAUGAUUUCGAAAAUCAGCAAUCAACAGGAAAUAGAACAUACUAAGAAUAAUAAGAAAAGGAAAAUAGAGAGCCAGUCAUAUUUCCCAAGGAAAAAAUAAACUAAAUUGAAGUGGAAAAAAGAUUUAGGAACCGUCCAUGAAAAAGGUGGAGGAGGUGGUGGGUUGAUUUUAAAAAAUAAAAAAAAUGCAUGACAGCAGCUGAUAGUUUAGCUAAUAGUAAUAGCAGCUAAUAGUUUAGAUGACAUUAAAUAUUUGGAGCAUGUUUCAUUCUGUGCAUUAAUCUUAGAAAUGCACAUAGUUGGAAUGUUACUUACUCACUUAAGUGAUGUAGUUUAUCUUAAUAUUCAUAGAGUAUAUUUGUAUAUUGUUCUUGAAAAUAAAUGUUUACGUUUGAAUACA